rnacentral:rRNA from 1 species
CAGUAGCCGCGGGAAUACGAAGGGGGCUAGCGUUGUUCGGAUUUACUGGGCGUAAAGCGCACGUAGGCGGAUCGAUCAGUCAGGGGUGAAAUCCUGGAGCUCAACUCCAGAACUGCCUUUGAUACUGUCGAUCUCGAGUCCGGAAGAGGUGAGUGGAACUCCUAGUGUAGAGGUGGAAUUCGUAGAUAUUAGGAAGAACACCAGUGGCGGAGGCGGCUCACUGGUCCGGUACUGACGCUGAGGUGCGAAAGCGUGGGGAGCAAACAGGAUUAGAUACCCCCGUAGUCCCUGUCUCUUAUAU